UACAGAGACUCCAAGCGUUAUUCGGAUUCACUGGGCGUAAAGGGUGCGCAGGCGGCCAAGUGUGUCGGAGGUGAAAUACUGCAGCUUAACUGUAGAGGUGCCUUCGAAACUACUUGGCUAGAGUAUCGGAGAGGCAAGUGGAAUUCCUGGUGUAGCAGUGAAAUGCGUAGAUAUCAGGAGGAACACCGAUGGCGAAGGCAACUUGCUGGACGAUUACUGACGCUCAGGCACGAAAGCAUGGGGAGCGAAAGGG
rnacentral:misc_RNA from 1 species